UACGGAGGGUGCAAGCGUUAUCCGGAUUUACUGGGCUUAAAGGGUGCGCAGGCGGAUAUGUAAGUCAGUGGUGAAAUCUCUAGGCUUAACCUGGAAAUUGCCGUUGAUACUAUAUAUCUUGAAUGUUGUGGAGGUAAGCAGAAUAUGUCAUGUAGCGGUGAAAUGCUUAGAGAUGACAUAGAAUACCUAUUGCGAAGGCAGCUUACUACGCAGAUAUUGACGCUCAUGCACGAAAGCGUGGGGAUCAAACAGG
rnacentral:rRNA from 1 species